rnacentral:lncRNA from 1 species
GUCACAAGCUCAAGUACAGCUUCAUCCAAUUCAGAAAGUCUGUCUGCAUCUUCUAAAGCUCUGUUUCCUAGCACAGCACAAGCUCAGGCAGCUGUCCAAGGACCUGUUGGUACAGAUUUCAAACCCUUAAAUAGUACCCCUGCAACAACUACAGAACCCCCAAAGCCUACAUUCCCUGCUUAUACACAGUCUACAGCUUCAACAACUAGUACAACAAAUAGUACUGCAGCUAAACCAGCGGCUUCAAUAACAAGUAAGCCUGCUACACUUACAACAACUAGUGCAACCAGUAAGUUGAUCCAUCCAGAUGAGGAUAUAUCCCUGAGAGAAGGGCACAGUUACCUAAGUAUCAACGUAAUCUUCCUCGGCCAGGACAGGCCCCCAUCGGUAAUCCACCAGUUGGACCAAUUGGAGGUAUGAUGCCACCACAGCCAGGCAUCCCACAGCAACAAGGAAUGAGACCCCCAAUGCCACCUCAUGGUCAGUAUGGUGGUCAUCAUCAAGGCAUGCCAGGAUACCUUCCUGGUGCUAUGCCCCCGUAUGGGCAGGGACCGCCAAUGGUGCCCCCUUACCAGGGUGGGCCUCCUCGACCUCCGAUGGGAAUGAGACCUCCUGUAAUGUCGCAAGGUGGCCGUUACUGAUCUUACUUCAUCCAGUCUAAUAGGUUUGGAGAUUAAACCUUUUCUCAACUUGUGCUGUUUAUAUAGCCAAGCUUCCGUCAAUAAGGCUUCAUUGUGACUUUAACAAACAUUAUCUUCCCACAUACCAGGAACUAUUGGACAUUUAUUUUACAUGGGAAAAAUUAUUUGGAAUAAUAAAGCAGGAACUUUUCCUGAAGUUGCAAUUUAUACUGUAUGGCUUCUUUUUCAUGUUUCAUCUAGGUUUUUAGAAGUGAAGUAUAGUAAAUUUGGUUCGUUAAAUUGUGAAGGCGCUGGAAUUACAUGAACAUACCACCCUAGUAAAGGCAAGUUCUGUAAGCUUACAUUGCUAUUUGUAAAGUUUGCCUUCACAGCAUUUCAGAUGCUGUUGGACUUCAUGUCCCCAACCUAGCUUGGUGAGGGCUGUAACUGUUUCCAAGUACUUGUACAUUGGAAGUCUGAAUGUGUAACAAUAUUUAAUGUAUUUAGAGUUCCUCAUGUUGCAGGGUUUAAGAAAUCUGACCCACCAAGGUCAUGUGACUUUUCUGUACUGUUAAACUUCAUUGUAAUAAAAUGAGAGAAAAAUU